GAGAUUUUCAAAUUUAUAAAUUUCAUUUUAACGGUUUAGUGUCGAGCCAAUCAUAUAAUUUGUUUAUUAAUUGUUUUUGAUUGAAAUGUUUACUUGAAGUUUACUAAUUAACAUCUAAUCACAAUCUAAUGAGGAUGGUUGAACUGAAAAGCAGCUUGGACAAUUAUCUUAGGUUACACUGUUUUGGGUUACAUUGUCUCUAUUAAUUAAGUUUAUUGUUGUAAACUUACCCGCUGUUUUGGCAUCUUUACAAGCAUCAUACAUGUCCAUCUUAAUCUCUGGAUUAUCAUCACCAAUAGCCUCACCAACCGAGACAAACCUUUCAACAGCAUGGUUUAUCGAUGACCCAACACGGACCAAGGAACGGCAAUGUUUAUCACUUUUGACCGCCUUUUCACGACCUCCAGUUAUCAUAGCUAAAUCACACAAUCGAUUCCGUAAUUUAUUGGUUACAGGAAACAGUUAAUGUCUGCGAUAAAAGUAAAAUGUAAAGUCAAAUCAACAUGAGAAUUGCCAGGGAAUACAGAGUUACAAAGUUAUGUAGAUUGGUAAACCUUUACACCAAGUUUAACCCGACCCUUUGAAACUGUAAACCCAAUAAUUUGAAUCAAGAUUUCGUGUGUAUGUCAAUUGGUCAACUCAAGCAAAAUAAGAUGAAAUUAACAUGCCACUGGAAUUACAAUUGUAAA